AUAACGCAUCAUCUAUUUAAAGGUAAUACCCUGCUUUCAGCGUGAUGGUUUAUUUUGCCUACAUGAAAAUGGUUGUAUAACUUUACGUGUUCGAAGAUCCUAUAAUAGCGUUUUCACUACUUCAAAUGAGGAACCAGAUCCAGAUCCUGUCCAGGAGCUUACCUAUGAUCUGCGAAGCCAGUGUGAUGCAAUCAGGGUGACAAAAACUGUCCGUCCCUUCAGUAUGGUGUGCUGUCCUGUCAAUGAGAAUGCAGCUGCCCUCAUAGUGAGUGAUGGCAGGGUCAUGAUAUGGGAACUGAAGUCUGCUGUUUGCAGUCGAAAUUCCCGGAACAGUAGUUCUGGUGUGUCACCUUUAUAUUCACCAGUGUCUUUCUGUGGAAUUCCUGUAGGAGUGCUACAGAAUAAACUCCCGGACCUCUCCUUAGAUAAUAUGAUCGGUAAG